rnacentral:rRNA from 1 species
CCCUAGAGUGGGGAAUAACGUUCCGAAAGGAACGCUAAUGCCGCAUGUCACAGCGAGACCCCUGGGUCACGCUGGAAAAGGGGACGCCCGCAAGGGGUUCUCGCUGGAGGAUGAGUCCGCGGCCCAUCAGCUAGUUGGCGGGGUAAUGGCCCACCAAGGCGUAGACGGGUAGCUGGUCUGAGAGGAUGACCAGCCACACUGGGACUGAGACACGGCCCAG